AGCUUUGCACAGUGGCAGUAUCGUAGCCAAUGAGGUUUAUCCGAGGCGCGAUUAUUGCUAAUUGAAAACUUUUCUCAAAAAGGGUUACAUCAUUUUCGAUUUAAUCCUCAAAAAUUUUUUUGAGAUAUUUGUAU
rnacentral:snRNA from 1 species